rnacentral:misc_RNA from 1 species
CUAGCACCUUAACUGAACUCCUUCAUUUAACUGCUAUUGUUUAAAUCUAUGGGUGUUAUCUUCACCCUUGUAUAAUACAAAUUAGGUAUUACAAAUAAGGACUGAUUCAGGUCUUCUACAUCUAAUCUAAGGAUACCUCAUUGUCUGUACCUGGUUGUAAUGCACAUAUAUGUUACGUAUCAGAGGAGAAGGUAUAGGAAGAAAGGUAGUCAGCAGUAGCAGUGGAAUGAGUGUGAGUAGCAGUAAAGAGAAGGAAAAGCUGUUAUAGCAGGCAGAGUUGUUAGAGGCAGUUGUAAUAAGUCAACAGUAGCUAGAAUUAGUUAGAAUAGCAGUUAUGAUUGGCGGGAACUAAUUGUAACAGCAAUUAGCGAUGAGAGAAUUUAGAUGAGAUUUAUAUAAGAUGUAACCAGAAUCUUGAAAUAAUAUCUUCUUUCUCUUCUAUAUUCUUUCUAUUCUUUUUCCGAGUCUCUCUAGCUUUCUUUCUCUUCUACUUCUCUUCAAUUUCGAUCCAAAACCCUAAGAAUAUAUUGCUUAAUCUAAAAACGUAUGGAUCCAAUGAAUUCUUCCGCAACUUUUGUUUUCAGUACUCUGAAAAUGUUUGGAUCCCGUGAAUUGUGGUUAGUUAUUAUCUUGAAUAUGCUUGGUUGGUUAAUCUAUGGCCAAAGCAAAAGAUAAAGGUUCAAAGCAUGUCCUUUGCAAAAACCAACUGUAACUGGUAAUUCAUCUAUAUUGAGUUCAA